GUGCUCACUUCAGAGCACAGUAUACUAAAAUGUGAGCGAUACAGAGAAGAUUAACAUGGCCCUGUGAAAGGGAAGGAUUUUGUGAUUGAUAUGGGUUAUACAUUGCA